rnacentral:rRNA from 1 species
AUUGAACGCUGGCGGCAGGCUUAACACAUGCAAGUCGAGCGAGUGGCGGACGGGUGAGUAAUGUCUGGGAAACUGCCUGAUGGAGGGGGAUAACUACUGGAAACGGUAGCUAAUACCGCAUACCAUCAGAUGUGCCCAGAUGGGAUUAGCUAGUAGGAGGGGUAAAGGCUCACCUAGGCGACGAUCCCUAGCUGGUCUGAGAGGAUGACCGGCCACACUGGAACUGAGACACGGUCCAGACUCCUACGGGAGGCAGCAGUGGGGAAUGUUGCACAAUGGGCGCAAGCCUGAUGCAGCCAUGCCGCGUGUGUGAAGAAGGCCUUCGGGUUGUAAAGCACUUUCAUCGGGGAGGCGUUACCCGCAGAAGAAGCACCGGCUAACUCCGUGCCAGCAGCCGCGGUAAUAC